AUGGCCACCUUGCUGUCGACGGUGCGGGAGAUCCGUCGUUCGCAGCGUGCGGAGGGGGCGGCGGCCGUCCUCGCCAUCGGCACAGCUAACCCGGCCAACUGCGUGUCCCAGGAGGAGUACCCGGAUUACUAUUUCCGGGUCACCAAGAGCCAGCACCUCACCGACCUCAAGCAAAAAUUCAAGGCCAUGUGCCAGAUGACACCAACGGACAAGCGUUACUUCCACCACACGGAGGAGCUCCUGGACGCCCACCCCGACUUCCUCUGCCGCGGCAAGCCGUCCCUGGAUGCCCGCCUAGCCAUCACGGCCGUCGCUGCGCCAGAGCUUGCAGCGUCAGCUGCAGCCAAAGCCAUAGCCGAGUGGGGCCGUCCGGCCACCGACAUCACCCACCUCGUCGUCAGCACCAACUCAGGUGCGCACUCCCCUGGCGCCGACCUCCGCCUUGCCUCUCUGCUCGGCCUCCGCGUGUCGGUACGUCGGACCAUGCUCUACCUCAACGGCUGCUCCGCCGGUGCCGCCUCGUUGCGCCUUGCCAAGGACCUGGCAGAGAAUAACCGCGGCGCACGUGUGUUGGUGGUCUGCAUCGAGCUCACCAUCGUCUCGUUCCGUGGCCCGGAGGAGGCAGAUGCCCACCCACACACUCUCAUCAGCCAGGCGUUCUUUGGCGACGGUGCUGGCGCGGUUAUCGUCGGCGCCGACGCCGUGCACACCAUCGAGCACCCAAUCUUCGAGAUGGUGUCCGCCUCACAGACCAUGAUACCAGGGACCGACCGUGUGCUCACCAUGCAGCUAACAGAGGCCGGCCUCGAUGGCCACAUCUUCACGAAGGAGCUGGUUCCUAUAGCGGCGCAACACAUCGACCAGUGUCUCACGGAUGCGUUCCAGCCGCUUGGAGUAAUGAGCGACGGCGCCACCCUCUGGAAUGAUCUCUUCUUUGUGGUGCACCCCGGCAUCCGAGGAAUACUGGAUCACAUCGAGGGGGCACUCCAGCUGGAGACGGGGAAGCUCGUGGCCAGUCGGACUAUGCUCAGAGAGUAUGGGAACAUGCUCGGCGCCACUGUGAUCUUUGUGCUCGAUGAGCAACGGCGCCGGAUGGAGGAGGACAGAGGGAUGAGGGGCGAGUGGGGUGUGAUGAUGGGAUUUGGACCUGGGUUCACUAUCGAGACAAUGGUGCUGCAUGCGGUGGACAGCAACACGCACAACAAAAAUUGA
rnacentral:rRNA from 1 species